rnacentral:lncRNA from 1 species
AGGGAAUAGCCUCUCACUGGAGAUCCCUGCCUCCCAGAGGUCUUCUGAGGUCUGGAUGAGUCCCAUGUGCAGUCCUGGCCAUUCCCAAAUGCUGGAUAUGCAGCUCGUGGAUCUGUGUCAUGCUAUAAUGUGCUGGGACAUGCUUUCAAGGAAAAUGCACAGGAACAGAAACAAUUUCUGACUUUACCCAUCUCCUCCAUGGAUGACGUGAAGGUGACCAGCUGUUGGUUGAGUAGUGCAGAGACCUUUGGAGAACCAUACGUGUUCAGCUGGGGAUGAAGGGCUAAAUUCAGACCAUUUGUGCUCUUGGCAUGAUACUCACCCUCAUCAGCGCUGUGUUUGCUUUAGAAGUCUGACUUAGCUGGCAUGUCUCCGUCAUUGGCUAAUGAGGAUUAAUUCUGAUUCUCUUCAGGCUUCAGAGAAACAGAUUGUGGAGGGGCUUUCAUCACAGGGGGAAUUAAAGAAGCUAGCAAAGUAUCUUAACCCAAACCACGCCACUGAUGGCUUUCAGUCAGAAAGGAGGACAGAUGAGAUUAACCUCAAAACCCCUCUGCUUCCUUGUGGGGACUAUAAACCUCAGUGCCAAGUGAGAGAAGAAUGCAGGAAAAGAAUCGUUUUAAUGUGGAUGUGUAAGAAACUGGACCACCAAGUCCAUUCCACAUUGGCCACUGAGCAGUCAUCAGAGGGUGUUGACUUUUGACCACUACUGUUUUUGUUAACAAGGAAAAUAAAACCAUAUGUUGCCUAAGUAGAUGCACAAAACUUUUCUCCAAAUCCCUACAGACAAACUGUCAGCAGCAAAAGUAUUUACUUUGGUAAUGCAGCUGGGCUUAAUCCCAGCCCCAUUGUGUUUGUGCAUGCCUUUUCACCACUGAGCUCAAUAACACGCUGCUUGUGAAGAGGGUGAAUGAAUGCCUGCAGUAUGAUUUCUGUUAUUAGGCCUAUCGGUUACAUCCCGAGACAAAAGGCUGGAAUCAACAAUGGUAGCACUACAUAGGCACUGCUCAUGCUUUGAGUUAGGCUAAGUGGAAAUCUUAGUCAUCAGUCACAUCAACU